CCUACGGGGAGCAGCAGUGAGGAAUAUUGGUCAAUGGACGAGAGUCUGAACCAGCCAAGUAGCGUGAAGGAUGACUGCCCUAUGGGUUGUAAACUUCUUUUAUAUGGGAAUAAAACGUUCCACGUGUGGGAUUUUGUAUGUACCAUAUGAAUAAGGAUCGGCUAACUCCGUGCCAGCAGCCGCGGUAAUACGGAGGAUCCGAGCGUUAUCCGGAUUUAUUGGGUUUAAAGGGAGCGUAGGUGGAUUGUUAAGUCAGUUGUGAAAGUUUGCGGCUCAACCGUAAAAUUGCAGUUGAAACUGGCAGUCUUGAGUACAGUAGAGGUGGGCGGAAUUCGUGGUGUAGCGGUGAAAUGCUUAUAUAUCACGAAGAACUCCGAUUGCGAAGGCAGUUCACUGGACUGCAACUGACACUGAGGCUCGAAAGUGUGGGUAUCAAACAGGAUUAGAUACCCGAGUAGUC
rnacentral:rRNA from 1 species